CUAAUACAUGCGUAAAAUCUCGAGCGCGGGGGGUGGUCUUGGGAUGCAGGUGGCAACACUUGUGUUCCGUUCGGGCCAUCUUUGCAUGCGCGAAGGGAUGUAUUUAUUAGACACACAAACCAGCAUUCUUUUACUGGUGAUUCAUAGUAACUCUUUCGGAUCGCAUUUAUAUCUUCCUUGU
rnacentral:rRNA from 1 species